UGCGCCACGCCCACCCCGCCACUGUCUCCGGGCAGAAGGUCUCGGCGGCGCUAGGUCACUGCCGCAGCCCCUCCACCCCAACAGUGGUGAGGAGGAGGCUUGCCGCCUUUGCCCACGGCUCGCUAGACGCUCCUGGGAAUGAACAGUGGGGCGCAGUACACGUUGAGCCGACUGCGGAUCUUUGUGCGGGCGGCGGCAGGGAGCCGCCGUCGUCGCCGCCGCCUCCAGACGCCGCACAGGGACCGGCCCUCAGUCGCUGACCGCCGCGGGCGGCUUCCCGGCGCUCGCACCCAACGGAGGGGUUCCGAGUCCGGUAGGACGGGAGGGGUGUGCGCGCAGAUGGGAUGAAGAGCCCCUCGUGCCAUAAAAAGAAGAAACCAGAGACCUAGACUUCGCAGCUUAUGUAUCUGUGCCCAGCGUGUGUCGUUCCGAUCAUAAGCAAGGAGCGUCCAGGCCCCCCCACCUCACCGGCCGAACCCGGUCAGCGCCCCCGCUGGUCCCGCGCGGGAGGGGAAGAAAACGGGGAGCGACUGCCUGCCCUCUGAGGGAAAGGUGUCUGCGGGGUGGGGGCUCCGGCGCUGCUUGCGUCGGCACCGCUCCCCGUCGUCUCACCUCGCUCGAUGUUGGCGAUAGCCCGCCGCAGAUGCUCUUCUGUCACCAGCUCGCCAAGGACCACCAGCAGACCCUCACUGCUCUUUUGGCCAUCUCCUACUCCCCGAGGCUCUCCCAGGAUCUCAGCCUUGAAGCAUCAUGGCCGUGCCAUGAGGCUCCAGCUGCAACCCUGAUGCUGGAUGAAAAAAAGCAGCUCCACUGUGCAAGGCCAAUGUGAAAAAUGCAUACUUUAUGAUUGGCUUUUCGCAAAUAUUACAAUGAAUAUUAUAUGUGUAAUGUUAGAAAAUUAUGCUGUAUUAAUUCUCUUAAGUAGUGUGUUAAAUAUCUUCUUGGGUUAUAACACAAUGUUAAAAUAGAAACUAUGCUAUGUAAGAUGCUUUGUAACUAGCUCAAGAAAGAGAUGAGAUAAUCAAGAAAUUCUUCGCACAGAGAUAACAGCAAAAGGGCCCAUUAAGAGUUACUGCCUCCUUAUCAGAAAAGACAAACAUUCUUCCACCUUCUCUCUGUCUUUAUGGAACCACCAGGAUUAAGGGAAAGAAGUUGACAAGAACCAGAAAAGUUCUUAAUUUGCAAGGAAUUUAUGCAUCAUGUAUGGGAUAUAUGAAUAUGCACCAGGCUAUUGCUUUUAAGAGUUAUUCCUUUGUUCACAAGGCAUGUUUUUGGCAGCUUAGUGCCCAAAAACAUUCGGACAUUCGUAAUUCUUUGCUUUUUAUUGUCUUGUAAUUGUCCUAACUCUAAAUUUUAUUACUCUAAUUAUAUUACUAUUUUUAGAACCAUUUUAUUAUUAUUAAACUUUUAAAAAUUUAAAAA